UCAUUCUCCUCUAUUAUUCCACACUUGUGAAACCACAGCUGGGAGUACUGUGUCCACUCUGGGGUUCCCCAGUUCAAGAAAUUCAUUGACAAACUGGAGCAAGACCAGCAGAGGGUCACCAGGGUGGUGAGGGGGCAGGAGCACAUGAUGUUUGAAGAGAGACAGUCAGAGCUGGAUUUGUCCGGUCCCGUGAUGAGAAGGCCAAGGGGAGAUGUUUUUGCUCUCCACAACUCAGUAACGGGAGUCAGACACUUCUGUGUGGUGCACGCUGAUAGGAUGAAAGGCAAUGGGCAUGAACUGCAGCAAGGGAAAUUCAUUCAGGUGGUAGGAGAUAAUUUUCACCAUGAGGGUAGUUCAGCACUAGAACUGGCUGCCCAGAGAAGCUGUGUCAUUUCCAUCCCAGCAGACAUUCGAAACUCGACUGGACAAGGUCCUGAGCCAUCUGAUCUCAGCUGGACUAACUUUGCAUGGGAGGAGGGUCAAGGUGACUUCCCAAGGUCUCUUCCAACCUAAAUGACCCCAAUUCUAAGGGGAAGGGCCACUGAGGGGCCCCACUAAAAGCUAUUGCUUCUGAUACGAAACCUACCGGUGGAGGGGGAUGUGGAAAUGCUUUUCAUGCCAUCCCACAAAAACAGUUGAGCUUUUAGAAUUUUCAAAUUCUUUUAGUAGGUCAACACCAAGGCCUUUCUGGCUUUUGUCUGGUUUUUUUUUUGUUUCUCUAAAAGGACACAAGAAAACAUUAACUAUUUGUCUGGUAAUCAAAUAGUAAUUCAACUUGAACCCGGAGCUCUUUCAUCCAAGAAGAGUGCCCUGAUCUUCAGGCCAGAAAGUGCUAGCUUCCCUCUCCUUUCCCUGGCACAGCAUAUACUGUAUCAGGAAAAGUAGCUCUGAAAAGGGUAAGUGAGGCAUUUUUGCAGGGAAAAUAAUUUAGUUAGAAAUUUCUGACCAUAUCUACAUGGCCCCUGCCAUGCAGGACCACACAGCAACUUUAGAAGAAAAAGUAAAGGAAAAACUCACUCACAUUGCAACCACUGUAUUUCUGAAAUAGAAGAAAGUUGUGAAGACAAAGAAGUUGGCCAGUAUUUGGGGAUUAACACCUCUGAAAUGUGAAAUAUGUCCCAAGACAGAUUAUAAUAAUAAAUGAUAGAGCUUUGCUUUUGUGUCUCGUGCAGAUGAUGUAUUUGAUCUGAGCAGGGACUUCCCACAGAAAAAAAGCAAGAAGAGACUUCAGGCUUUCAGCUCAUGUGGUCAUCAGGCGUCUUGUGACUGUGGUGUUUUCAUGUGUGGCAAGAGGGGCAGUGGUAACUACAGUUUUGGAGCAGACUUUGUGAGCAAGAUUAAAAUGCUUUCAGUGACAAAGACUGUGGUGUUAUCUUCCAUCCAUCAUUCAAACAGUGCAAAGUGAUGUAAAUCUGUCCUAAAUAUCACAUCAAAUCUCUGUUGGCUGCUGCUUCACGACCCUUUUUGCCAGAGAUGGUUAGUUACAGCUGGAAAGUGCUCUCAUCCUUAUGAUAGUGUUCUGGACAUCAUCCUGUCGGCCCAGUCUGAAGAGGUGAACAUGGGGGAAAAACUGGCCCUUGUGAUUCUUGUUGCCUCUCCUUCAGUUGAAUUGAGACUACAUUCAGCUGAGAAUUUGGUAUUUUAUCUUUCCAUUUUAAUCUUCCAUUGCAGUCAUGAGCUCUUCAGGGUGGGUAUUGCCUCUACCUGGGUGACCCGUGCCUACCACAGGAGGUUCCUGGCCCUGGGCACUGCUGCAAUAGAGUAAUACUUAUCCCCAGCCAUCCAGGUGUGGGCACAGUCAUACUGUGGAUAAUGGGGAUAACAAAGUGAGAGCCAGGAGGGAGUUGUUUUUAUGCUGCUGGUAAUUACAGGGCAGUUGGGGAGAGCAUGUGGAACAGCAAAAGCCACACUGCCAUGCUGUGUGUUAGCUAUCAGUGUUAUACUAUGUUGUCUUGAGUGUUACAAAGACUUUUUAUCCAGUUCCCAAACUGCUUGGUGAAUACAGGGAAGGUUAUGCUGAAUGGAUUUGAUGGUCAGAAAUUGACCAUCCUGACUUGUAGCUGGCUAGCACUUGGGUGAGCUGAAACCAGGACAGAUGCUUAAAGCUGCCCUUUGACAUCACAGGCAUAUUUGGGAGUUCCCGAGGAACCUCAGAGCACUUGGCUUUCCACAGCCACCCUGGGAAUCCCAGGAAAUCUUUUGUUAGAACAUAUUUGCUGUCUUGAUUCUGGUUCUGCUCAAACACGGAUGGAUCCUGGAUCCUUGCUUGGACCCCUGGAUCCCACUCCCCUCCCUGGUUCUUUGUUUCCUGCCCCAGCCGUUUGCGCUGGCCCUGCACCCCACCCCGCACCCUCUCUUGGUGCGGAGGGGGAGGAUGUCCCUGCUAGACUGCUAACAAAGUUUUUCUCAGAAAAAGCUUCACCACAUCCAAAGCCAGGAUGUAACUCCAGAGAAAAACAUCGCUUUCCUGAACGGGGCCACUGUGUUCAAAUCGGGCAAGGAAAGUUUUUAAAUAGCUUUAGCAAAGCCUGUUUACCAAGCCUGUGAACUCUCAGGCCAUGAGAGGGAGCUUUUAAAAUGCUCUUCAUGUACAGGAAAGCCUUUUGUCUUCAAGAGUUCAACACAGGCUCCUGUCCCAGCCGCACAGUCCUGCUUACCAGCGGGCACCCAUCCUUUGCCCCUCUGCUCUCCCCUGCUUACUGAAAGAGAAAAAUGCCGGCAGCACGUGGUGACGCAGCUGUCCGGUUUUGGAGCGGUUCUUAUCUCAUGUUUAUACUCUCAGCGUACAGCGCGCGGUCACAGCAGAAGCCUGCUCCAGAUCUGCCUGCUAGGGCUGGCAGCAGAAAAUGUGCUGCCUGACUCAUUCAGAGGGGAGACUAAGUCAAAGGGGUUUCAUUUGCUUUCCAUCACCAUGGUAUUUUCAUUUCUUCUUUCCCUUUUAAUAAAUCUUUAGGUUUAGAAAGACAUUCUGUGUGAGAGGUUAUGCACAAUUUGGCAGGGGGGUGUUAGUUGUUGAACUAUUAGCCUUAAUAAAUAGUUUUAUCUCAUGGUGAUAAGACCAGUAUUUCUGAUAAGCCUGUGGCAACGGACAUAACAAGUCCCAUAACCACAGUUAAAUAGCAAGAGUUUCUUAUAGCCCAGAGCCAGGGGACAGGGUAGGGACCCAGCUGCCAUGGCACCUUACGUUUAAAUGGUCAGCUGUGCCACUGUGGUAGUUGUCAUCAGGGCCUGAUGCUAUACACAGUUAUUCUCUGCUCUGGCCUUGUUUCACAUCUGUAACUUUGGGGUCUUCACCAGAGAAAAAAUCAACGUGAUACAGUAAAAGGCAAGGCAGAGUUUAAGAUAUAUGAGUUUCUUAAUUGUAUUUCUAGAUUAUCCAGUGUUCAGCAUUGGAGGAGAUGGUCUUAUUAAAGGUGUUUAACUUUUGAAGUUUCAGAAUUUCUCAUUUGUAAAACAACCCUAUCAUGUUCUUUUAUGUUUUGUACCUGUAAGUAGAUAAUAGCUAUAUAACAAUUUGAGGCCCAGCUGGAUGGAUUAUUUUUCUCGAGCUUUGGGAUGGAAAUCUUCUUGAGCUUUUUAAAAUAUGCAUGACUGGAUUAUAACAUUUUGAUAUGUGGUCUUGUUUUUGGAAGAUGGGUUGGAAAGUUUUUAUCUUUAAGUUUCUAAUUUUUUUACUGUAGAAAUUUCCCUAGAGGAAGAGGUAGAUUUAAUCUUUUUAAGAGGACCUCUCAGGCUUAUCACCACUGCAGGCUGUAUCCUAUAUGGGGACCCUUUAACAGUGUCUUGGAACAUUUAUCUACAAAGUUAUCAGAGCUCAAAUAUCUGAUCAAUUCCAAUAUAGACAGCCUCUGCUCAGGUGCUCCAGCAUCCAUCCAGCAUGACUUAGUUCUCCUUCGUUUGGAUCCAUAAUGGCCAAUAGGGAUGAAGGGAAUAUCCCCACAAUAGAAUGAGCUACCUAAAAAGCAUAGUGAAAAGCAAGGAAAGAAUGAAGCAUCUGAGCUGAGUAAGGACUUCUUAGAUGGUUCACAGAUGUGCACUGGAAAUUCUCUCUCUGGAAAUUAAAAGAGUUAUCAUGAGAGACACACAGGUCCCUUCUGCUCACCCCUGCCCUCACACUGGCAAAAGGCGGUGUCCGUGUUUGGGGAGAGAAGCGCUGCUGGGCUGCUUCCCCUCUGCCCUCCAUCACAGAGACUGUCCUUCCUGGGUCCUGAGUCGGUGCCUGUGUUAGCCUGCACUCGAUACUCCAGCGAAGAACAGCAUAAUGUGAGUACCGAUGACUCGGUCCACCUAAAGGAAGGUUAACUUAAAAGAAGAUACUGCAUUUAGUUAUGGUUCUUGAGAGAACAACAUCCUGGAGCUACCACUAGGAACAAAGCACCGACUUAGUGGAGGACAGAAAUCAUAUGCUAUGUACAAGAAGAUGAGAUGAAAAAUUGUUAGAAACUGCAAAGUGAUGUAACUCAAAAAGUUAAAGUAAAUGCUGAACCACCUCAGCUUAAUUUUGUGCAUUGCAAUAGACUUUCCCCACAUCAUUGUGCACGAUGCCUUCACCAAGACCCCAGCACAGUGUGACGGGCCAUGAAUGAGACAAGUGCUGUGCCCAAGCUUCACCCCACAGUUCAAGGCCUGGUUCCCUGCCCCACGGGCAGCCCUAACCUUGCUCUCUGCUCCCACACAAGAAACAGUGUCCUGAGGCAAGGACCCCUGCUUUGUCCCCCAUAUGCCAUCCCAACUCUGGGGAGAACAGGGACCAGCCAGAGGGACAGGCCUUUCAGCCUCCUCUGUUCCCAAAAUACCUUAUUUAUAACCUUAAAACAUUCUUUAUAAUCUUAAAACAGCCUGGGAACUUGGCACCUUCACUGUCUUUGAUUGUCUGACAUUCAUUCUGGCUGCCUGCAGUUUCCAACCUGGGAAGGAUGGAAAUUUCAUGACAGUGCCCCUCUAUUUAAGCACAUGCCUGCCUUGGGGUUGAGUCAUCCCUGGUGAGAGGAUUUGGAAAGCAAAGUCUUCCUGACCUGAGCUUAUUGGUUUUUUGGCCAUGCCGCCUUGCCUGGGCGCCUGGGCUGUGAAAAGAACACGCACAUGCAUAAGGUGGUUAAUGAUGCACAAGCAUCAUGAAGCAUCAGAAAAAGCGUUUGAUUUGCGUAUGUCAAGUGUGCUGGAAACAGAUCAGCAUGCAGCAGCGAGAAGCACAGGUGCCUUUUGCACAGCAGAAAAAGGAGCAUCCCAAGCCUUUUGAUGUGUCUCAGCGAGCAAGCAGUGACAUCAACAAAGACAGGACAAGAUUUAGAAAAGCAUCCUUGUAAUAGCUGAACACAAGUGUCCAAAAGUUACAAUUUUGAUAGCUUCAGAGACAAUUUCCUUUGUGUUGUGCCUGAUUUGCCCGUCACGUCACAUAAUACGAAAACUUGAAAAUAAGGCACAGUCAAAACGUUCUGGAGAGGUGCAUUCCUAACGUCCUGGCUCAGGUGAACUUUCUCCAUUCUACAGUCAAAGGAGGGAGGUAUCCAUAUGCCUCAAGAUGGGGAUGGUUUAGGCUGUAUUAUUCAGGGCACUUCUGAGUGAAGGGAGAGACAAAGAGAUGGGAACAAUCCUCCCCUUUUAUCUGAAACCUUUCUGCUUGCCUUCCUGCAGUGAAAAAUCUCCGCAGCCAUUAUCACCCACCUCCCACUGGCUUUGCUAUGACCCCGGUCCAGGGAGACCUCAGCUGUGUAACCAACAAAGUCGAGCCAAGCAGAAACUGAAAUGAAGGGCUAUGACUAAUUAAGAUGUUCUCUUGUGUGCACAUUCAGAUGAAAGUUCCUGGGAAGAGAAUACAAAAAUCCUAAGUAGCUGUAAAGUGGCUCUUUUCACCAACCUUAAAGCACAGUACCACAUAAUAACUCACAGCUGUGCAUAUUUGAUCCUCAUCUAGGAUCAGCUCAUGCAUUAUUUACAUCCUUAUUACUGGCAGUGGAGUUGGGCAGAAAUGACGGUAAUAUCUGUUACACCUGAUGGGAGACAAGCAUUUUGCAUAGCUCACACUUGUUGCUGAGCAUGGCCCAGAAAGGCAGGGAAGGAGGUGGGAAAGCAACUGAGCUUGGAGAAACUGUAACCCUUUAGAAAUCAGAAAAAAGGGAAGAGGACUCAUGUUUUGGAGUGUGAGCAGGCACUCAGUGGCUGGGAGAAAGAAAGAGAACUUGUUCACUUUGCCUCUACGCAAUGCUGGAGUAAAGAGCAGGUGAAGAGAGGAGAGGCACAGGUGGAAAGUCCUGCAGGAUUAGCAACGCGUGAAGCAGCUGCAUGCUCUCAGAGAGUGAGCUGAAGUCCUUGUUAGUUGUGUCCUUUGACUGACACUUGAUGGCCUAUGACAAAGGUAAGGGGUCAGGCAGGUUUCUUGGCCACCAGCCCAGGCAGGGAGCUGCUCCCUGGCUUGGAGAGCUCUAAUAGGCACCAAGGGCCCUGGCGUGCCCCUAAAAGAGGUGGUGAGACACACCACACCCUGUGGUGCUCAGGCAGCCUCCUGCCAUCAGGAGUCCCGGGACUGCUGUCACGUAGGCUGGUUGUGGAGGUGGCUGGUGGUGGCUUUUGCAUGGAUGACUGCCCAUGGGGAAAUGGAUGGACACCACCAAUUACACUCCUGCAGAGCGCUUGGCAGCUGGUGGCAGCUGAAAACUUUCCCUCCUUCCCAGUGAGGUGAGGAACAAAACCAUGAAAAGCUGUGUUUUCUGUGCCUGAAACCCAUUUUGGCUCCUGCAACACUGUGCCACGGGCAGCCUGGAACAGAUUAUUUCUGCCGUCUUUAAACAGCUGCUCCAAGUCCCUGCUGGACAGCAGGGACAACCUUCCCAGACAGGCUGCCAGGCAGAAUGGUUUGGCUCUGCUGGUGCCUCACAGUUAUCACCAAAAGGAUAUUCCAGGAUCACAUCCAGCUGCAGGCAGAAACAGGCAGGAAGCUAGCACACAAGCUCCCAUACACCAUCUGCUCCAGAAACUGGAAUCAAAACCCAAAGCAGCAGCCCUUCAGUCAGCAAUGUGACUAAACCCAGGUCGGCUGAAGCCAAAUUCUCCAUUUAAAUAAGCAGACGUCCAAGCAUUACUUCUCUGACACACGCAGUAGCACCAUGCUGGAUCAUUGCACACAAGAUGAAACUAGCCUUUCUCCUGCCCUGAACCCUAAGUCAGAGGCAACUUUUCAAUGAAUCAUGGAUUGGUUUGUCCAAUUGUGUCUGAUCCAUGUGGGUCACAAAACAGGAGUGCCACGUUGCAAAAAGCUCUGUGUGCUGGCCUGGGUGCAGAGGAGGAAUGUGAGGAAGGAGUCAGCAGUGCGAGGCUCACGUCAGGUCAAGUUCCUGUAUAAAUGGAAGGUUUAGACUCAAGUAUGCUACCAGCUGCAGCCGCCCAAGGCAGCCAAGAUUCAAGGACAAGCAAACCCUCUAUGGAUGAAGGUUACGGGAAGAAAAAAGGUCCAGAGCUGUACGAAAGCACUCGGCCCAU